rnacentral:lncRNA from 1 species
CAACCCGGCCUACAUCCACUCUCCUCUAACUUCAAUCCCAAGCUUGAGGUUCCACUAAUCCAAGGCUUCCAAACCAAGCCUUCAAGCAAUACAAUUGGAUUAUGGUUCCAAUUCACCCUCUUGGACUUUUGGCUCCAAGCACCCUUUACACUUCUCAAGAGAUAUCCCACUCUUGAACAACCCCUCAAGUGAUACCCCACACUUGAGAAAAUUCCUCUCAAAGAUUUACAAAUGAAUGAUAUCUCAAAAAUCCUAGCACAAGAACUUUAAGCUCAAAUGAUACAAGAAAAACUAGGAUUGAAUGGUGCACUAAAG